rnacentral:lncRNA from 10 species
AAGAGGACCCUGGGAAGGUGGCUCCCGCCUCACUCCUAGAGUGAAAUCCUCGCAGCCCUGCCCUCGCGGGCGGAGCAGAGACGCCGCCGCUUGGCCGGUUCACGCCUGUCACACAAAGCCGCCGAGGGUCGGCUGCGCCCCUGGCAAGGCUGUAGGGCUGGGGAUACUGAGUAUGACAGGCGAGGUCCCUGCUCUCAAGAACUUACAUGGGAGAGAAGGGGAGACAAGAUAAACAGGUGGAGCAACUCAACCCAAAAAGGUUGGUCUGUAUGGUGACGGAAUGUGGUCUCCCAGUUUUCAGCACAGCACUCAUUCAGCUAUUCUGCUCUUCAGAAAGCAGGAGGGAUGUGCCCUAAGGUGGACUAUUGAAAUGAUGAAAGCCACUGAGGAAGAGCCAGAGAAUUCUCGUAGCUGUGAUUAGACAUCAACCUUGGGCAUGCUAAACAUUUCAGCCUGGACACCCUGAGAAGAGCCAGUGCCACUGGUGACAGCUGCUUCUGUGCGGGCUUUUGCUUGGCCAGAGAGGCAGGACCUUCUCCCUGGCAUUUUGAGGAGUGGUGCCGGGUGGGCAGUGACUGCACUAGCAACAGUCUAUACCAAGAGAAGACCUCAAAUUCCCAGAGAAGAAAGGCAGCGAGGCCAAGAAAUGCUGCCGCCGCUUAACAAGUGAAGAUGCAUACUGGAGAAUAGGAACUGAACACGCGAAGGAGUUUCGGCUUUACUGCCUUCUCUCCUAGCAUUGAACAGAUCUUCUCUGCUGUUGAUUAUUCUCCAUGAAUCAUCAUCCAUAGAAAGUGACUGAGGCAAUAGAGAGUGAAUAAUGAAUCUCUCAAAUAGUCUUUUGUGUUUCUGCCUGGAGGGUUUUGGAAAUAACUUGCAUCUUAAUCUUUCUGACUUAGAAUCAUAGAAUUUGGGAGCUGAAAAGGACCUUCAUCAGGGCAUGUGGCCUCACAGAAAGACUGGAAGAAAAGAUUUGUGGGUAUGAGCCUCUGGUUCAUCACUAAAAAUAGGCCUAGUCUAACAUAUAUUGGAGGCUUUCCUUGUGUCAGGUACUCAUUUAUUCUUCCAAAACCUUGGGAGGUAGGUGCUGCUAUUCCUCCAUUCUGCAGAGGAGGAAGAGAUGAGGAGACAGUAGAUCACCAGAGGGCAGUGUGAGGGGUGUGCUGGAACCAUCAUGUGGAACUGGCUCUGGUUCCAGAAUCCACAUCCUCUCGGUCAUUCCACUCCCACAUCAAGUGGCUUUGGACAAGUAAUUUAACUUCUUUGGAUCUCAGUUUUCUCCUCCGUGAUCUCUAAAGUUUAAAAAUUACUAACAGUCUGCAUCUGCCACCCAAGCAUGUGAUUUUACAAGUCAGAAAAGUGUAGCGCAGAAAUGUUAAGUGACCUGCCCUAGGUCACCCAGGUUGCUAAGGGCAGAAUCAGCACAGAAACCCAGGCCCAGUGACCACUGCCCCCAGGCAAGACCUCCUUCCCUUCCACUGCACUUUGGCAGGUGUUCUAGGGGAAUCCAACUCCUUGCCUUAGAGGAGACCUGUUCAAUGAUAUCAGAUAGACUGGAGAUGUUACGUUUUGGUGUGGCCAAUCACAACACCAGGAUGAGCUUAGGAGGCUGGUGAUAUUUGUCUAUCUAAGCACCCCCAACCUAUCUAUCUGUCUGCUGUUUGUCUAUCUUUCUCAGGUUAUGCAUAGUGACCAAACCCCGCCUGGUAACUGUAGGGAAAGAGCAUGACUGGUGUGUUACAGCUACACACGCCCCCUGGUGGUAUUUCCAGUUGUUUGUCCUCUUCAUGCAAAUGUUGCCACCUUGUGCCAGCUCUCUCACCUAGCUUCCUUCAUGACGACAGUGGUUGCAAUUCUGCUCCUCUCUCUGCCUUCCCCUGUCCUUGGCUCCCCAUGUCCAGAAUCUGAUCAUUUACUGGUGUGCACCCUGGGAUGUGAUGUGUGCUUUGGGAGGAGACAGGACCCAACAGUAUCUCAGCUGUGCUCUGGUAAUCAGUGUGCACCACAUUACAAGCAUCCUCAUCCCAGUAUCCUCCCUAUUGAAAAAGAAAUGGGAAAGGGGUGGAUGUGUCAAUAAACACAACAUUGAAGGCAUCUGAAAUAGAACAAGGACAUCCUGGGUGAGGCAUUA